CCUACGGGAGGCAGCAGUGGGGGAUAUUGGACAAUGGGCGAAAGCCUGAUCCAGCCAUGCCGCGUGAGUGAAGAAGGCCUUCGGGUUGUAAAGCUCUUUCGGCGGGGAAGAAAUGGCAACGGCUAAUAUCCGUUGUUGAUGACGGUACCCGCAUAAGAAGCACCGGCUAACUACGUGCCAGCAGCCGCGGUAAU
rnacentral:rRNA from 1 species